UACGAAGGGGGCCAGCGUUGUUCGGAAUUACUGGGCGUAAAGCGAACGUAGGCGGUGUUCCAUGUCAGAGGUGAAAGCCUGGGGCUCAACUCCAGAAUUGCCUUUGAAACGGGAACGCUUGAGUCCGAGAGAGGAUGGCGGAAUUCCUAGUGUAGAGGUGAAAUUCGUAGAUAUUAGGAAGAACACCGGUGGCGAAGGCGGCCAUCUGGCUCGGUACUGACGCUCAGGUUCGAAAGCGUGGGGAGCAAACAGG
rnacentral:rRNA from 1 species